rnacentral:lncRNA from 1 species
AUCUCCUAGGCUCCAGUGAUCCUCCUGCCUCAGCCUCCCAAAGUGCUGGGAUUACAAGCAUGAGCUACUACAUCUGUCCAAAAGCUGCAUUUCCAAGACCAGGUUUUGGCAGUUACAGGUUGCAGGGUUCUCUGGGCCCAUCCAGGAGAUGAGAGAAAAAGAAAACUCAGGGCCUUGUACAGCGUCACCCCCAAAGUCCCGAGGUUCCUGGACAGCCUUUCUUCCUCUACACUUCCUAGAGUCCUCUUAUGUCUGUUAAAUUUUUUCCAGGGUGUCUAGUUGUAUUUAGAGGGCAGAUGCCACCUCGUCAUAGAAUGCCAGGGUCCACUCUCCAGGCAUUUGGAACGAGUUGCCACGAGGUCCUCGGGAGGGUGUGACAGUUCACACGCCCACCAGCAGCUUUCCACGUCUCCAUUUCCUCUGCCCCUGACAGCAUCUAAUGUUAUGAUUUUUGUUUGUAAAUUUGGCUUUUGGUUCCUUUAUGAGGGGAUUAAUUAAUACAGGCUGCUGGCUCCUUCCCACGAAUCCAAACCUUGGAGAUGCCAUCAAAGGGAUGACAGUUGAUGGAGCCCAGAACCUAAGAGGACCCCUGAGAGCCUUGCGGAGGCUGGGCAAACGUGGUGGAGUCUGGGACAGGAGGGGAAUCACAGUCUGAGUGGAGGAGGCCACACAGCACAACCGGGGCCAGACUGCAGCUCUCUGCUCCGGGGCCCACCUGGGGCUGUCAUCUGCCAGCCCUGCUUUCCUGUAGAAGAUCCCACCCGUACCAGCCCCAGGAAUCUAGGCAAGGCCAGAGCACCUCAGGAGCCUCCUGGAGUGAGGGCCACGACACCUGGGCAGGCUGGCUGGUGGCCCCUGGGCAGCCUUCCUCCCCAGCCCAAGGACAGCCAAUUACAGCACAGGGCAGCCCUGGACAGACAGCACCAGCUAGAAGGACAGGGGCGUUCCCUGCAGACCAGAGCAGCCCCCGGGGAUGAGCAAAGAGGGCCCCAGUCAUCCUGCCAGAGGCUCUGCCCCCAGGAGCCCCUGCCUGCCUCCCUGAAGCCCACAAGGAAGGUGUCAACUGGGGCCUAAGACGAAGGCAGUUGACCAUACCCAGGGAACAGAGAGCGGCCUGAGGAAACGAGACAGCGAGGGGAGUGAACUCCGGGAGGGAAAAACCCCAAGGUUUUUCCUUGGAGGAGGGAGCAGAUGAGCGGAUAAGACCGGUAAAUCCGUCACAUACCCUCAGGACGCAGGGAGAGCGCGGCUGGAAUUGGCAGUUAUGCAGAAGAUGCAGCCGGGAAUACUGGACUGGAACAUGCGGGCGCUUAAGUGAUGAACUUGGUGGGAAGGUUGGAGACCAGAAAAUGAAUGAGUGAGGCAGGUCAGGCUCUGAGCUCUUCUAGAAGGAGCUGAAGGGGUUGAGGAGGCAGAGGUGAGGGAGGAAAAAUAUUCAGUGCUUAAAAGAGGAAAAAUGAAUAGAUAAGAGGAAGUAUCUGAAAAAUGAUUAGGAAAUUUCCCCAAUUAAGAAAAGAUGCACAUCCUCAAACUGAAAGGGCCUGCAGAGUGUUAAUUACAUUUUAAAGUUAAAAUCUUAUGUGUACUUUCAAAGAAAAGCAUCUACAUUUUGAGUCAAAAUUGCUAAAAACUUCCAAAGAGAAAAAGCAGGUAACCCGCACAGGAACGGGAGUGGUGCUGACAUUAGAAUCGCGGCACAGACAACGGAUGCAAGAAGAAAGGGAGUGACAGCUUCAGACGCGAGAGGAAAGGACCCUGGAACCCAGGGCUGUGUCCUGCUCACCGCCAUGAAAUAUGGGCACGCAGGAAGCCAUCCUCAGUCCUAUCAGCCCCCUUGAGAGUCAACCCCAGAAACACUCUUGGAGAAAUAUUUCAGCAAGAAAAAGGAACCGGGGAGGAUGCUGCCAGGUCUAGGGAGGAGUGAUGCUUCCCCAGCGUGGAUGGUUCACUGCCAUCUAAGUAAGCAAUGACCUCCGCGUGUGCCGCACAGUCCAGCUUCCUCAGAGGCGGUGGUGGCCUGGUGGAGGAAUGUGGGCUGGCUGGGAGGCCACAGAGAAUUACUGUUUCCAUUAAAAGGAAAUGUGUUCUGGCCGGGAGCCCUGGCUCACACUGUAAUCCCAGCAUUUUGAGAGGCUCAGGCGGGUGGAUCGCUUGAGGUCAGGAGUCUGAGACCAGCCUGGCCAACCUGGUAAAACCCCGUCUCUGCUAAAAAUACAAAACUUAGCUGGGCGUGGUGGCGGGCGCCUGUAAUCCCAGCACUUUGGAAGGCAGAGGCGGGCGGAUCACUUGAGGCUAGGAGUUCGAGACCAGACUGACCAACAUGGGGAAACCCCAUGUCUACUAAAAAUACAAAAAUUAGCCUGGCAUGGGGGCACAUGCCUGUAGUCCCAGCUACUCGGGAGGCUGAGGCAGGAGAAUCGCUUGAACCCGGGAGGUGGAUGUUGCAGUGAGCCGAGAUUACACCACUGCACUCCAGCCUGGGCAACAGAGCAAGACCCUGCCUAAAAAAAGAAAAAAAGUGUCACAUGGAGACGUGUGUCUGUUUGGGACUGUUUUCCAGCCUUUCCACACUCUUCCCCUCCCCAUCUGUCCCUCCAUCUCCACCAAGCUGUGUUUUGAUGUUGUGUUUGCAUGAUUUGGUGUAUCUGGCAUUUUAACAUUUCAUCCUUGCCACUAUUUAUUAUUUUCUGUUUCUUCGUAGUAGCCACUAAAUAUCAGGUGAUAUCUCAUUGUGGUUUUGAUUUGCAUUUAUCUAAUAAUUAGUGAUAUUUAGUGUCUUUUCAUAUGCUCAUUGGCCA